GGUGAUUUCGAGGCAAUCUGACUUCCCUGAUGUCUCACAGAAAGCCAUCAGAGCCAGAACGGGCGCAGCUGCCACCCUGACACAGUGGAAGGGUUGGGGUGGAACUAGGCUUAGACGGACACGUGCUGUGCACAGUGCGAGUGGAGUGUUGGUCAUCGUGAUGUGUGACUGCACGAGUGUAUGCAACACGUCCCCAGGUGGAAGCGAAGGAUAUUCGUACUGCCUGGCUUCUGAAUGGCGGCUGAAAUCUAACAUCUGGUGUAACUGUACAAACCUGACCUUAGGUCACGGUAAGUAUUGUAUUGUUGAUGAUGGAUACGCUUUUUUCAUUACAAUGCUGUCUCCGUUCUGUCAGUGUCCAUGCUGUGAAUCCUCAGUUAUAGCCUGGACUAUUGAUAAAUACUGAUUUUUAACAUACAGGGGUUUUUUUUUUUGUUUUUUUUUUUUAACCUUUUAGGCAUUGUAAGAUUUUUUUUUUUAAAUAUCUCUUCUAGUUUGUUGUCAACAAUAUGCUAUUAUAUGAGAAAACUCUUCUGCAUGAUAGCUCCAAUGCAGAAUGAUCAAGGAUUAUCUGUCUGAAGAUGUAACUGUGAUCCUCAAAGAAGAGUGUCACAGAGAGGUGAUUCACUCUGGCUAAUGCCUUCCCCCACACUUUCCUCCUUGGAUGCCCAUGUCUUGGAGCUCUUCUAGGGACACGGUCUAAGGUUUAAAUUGUAAUGCAGAUGUGAGCACCUGUGAAUGUCUCUUUGCCCCAGCGUGGAUUAUUAAUUCCCAUUUCCAAGGGGCCUGCAGCAGUACAGACUGGAGCAGCUUGCACCUCCUAUUUCUUUGCUUUGCUGAGUGUAUCCAUUCCCAGAACUUUCCAUUUCACUGCAGCUCACCAAGAGCUUAGCAAGACUCUGAGCACCGUACCUUCAGAUUUUUUUCUCCCUAAAGCUAUAAAAACCCAACUUUAUUUUCUGAUCUUGGGCUCCCCAAGCACAGGCUCAGACACAGCUCCUGGAGACAGGGCUUGCUGGGCAUACCAAUGGUGAAGGGAGAUGUUCUCUUUCUUAAUCCAUAUGCAAGGCAGGAAUGCGGGCAUUGCGUUCUCUCUAGGUGCUCAUAUGGCUUCACGAUGUUGUAGGUCACAAACAGAGGUAAAGCAGAACGCCUUUGGCUCACUGUACUCCCUGCUACGACAUCUCCCCAGCCACGAUCCCUAACCCAGCACCAACUGGCAUGGGAAAUGUCUGGAGGCACAGCAGCCACACUUUUAAGAGACAUCAUCUAUUCAUUUCGGCACUGCCAAAGCUAAACAUGUUUAUAGAUUUGUUCAUAAUUUUUUUUAGAGUAGAAUUCCAUUUGUUUAACAGCAUCUGAAAAAAUGAAGUACCUGGGGCAACGUCGCUGCGUGCAGCUGGUGC
rnacentral:lncRNA from 1 species